rnacentral:rRNA from 1 species
UACGUAGGGGGCAAGCGUUGUCCGGAUUUACUGGGCGUAAAGGGCGCGUAGGCGGCCUGUGCGAGUCAGUUGUGAAAUCUCCGAGCUUAACUCGGAACGGUCAACUGAUACUGCUCGGCUAGAGUGCGGAAGGGGCAACUGGAAUUCUUGGUGUAGCGGUGAAAUGCGUAGAUAUCAAGAGGAACACCUGCGGCGAAGGCGGGUUGCUGGGCCGACACUGACGCUGAGGCGCGAAAGCUAGGGGAGCGAACGGG